UUUACUUUCAGCCAGCAUUAGAGUUUUAAACUCUAAACUGAGCUUUUCCAUGCAAUCAGCAUUAGGGUUUUAAACCCUAAACUGAAUUUUCCUUUUAGUCAGCAUUAGGGUUUUAAACCCUAAACUGAAGUCUUUCCUUUCAGCCAGCAUUAGAGUUUUAAACUCUAAACUGAGCUUUCCCAUGCAAUCAGCAUUGGGGUUUUAAACCCUAAACUGAAUUUUCCUUUUAGUCAGCAUUAGGGUUUUAAACCCUAAACUGAACUUUUCCUUUCAGCCAGCAUUAGAGUUUUAAACUCUAAACUGAGCUUUCCCAUGCAAUCAGCAUUAGGGUUUUAAACCCUAAACUGAAUUUUCCUUUUAGUCGGCAUUAGGGUUUUAAACCCUAAAUUGAACUUUUCCUUUCAGCCAGCAUUAGAGUUUUAAACUCUAAACUGAGCUUUUCCAUGCAAUCACCAUUAGGGUUUUAAACCCUAAACUGAAUUUUCCUUUUAGUCAGCAUUAGGGUUUUAAACCCUAAACUGAACUUUUCCUUUCAGCCAGCAUUAGAGUUUUAAACUCUAAACUGAGCUUUUCCAUGCAAUCAGCAUUAGGGUUUUAAACCCUAAACUGAAUUUUCCUUUUAGUCAGCAUUAGGGUUUUAAACCCUAAACUGAACUUUUUCCUUUUCAGCCAGCAUUAGAGUUUUAAACUCUAAACUGAGCUUUUCUAUGCAAUCAGCAUUAGGGUUUUAAACCCUAAA
rnacentral:lncRNA from 1 species